rnacentral:rRNA from 1 species
UACGUAGGGUGCGAGCGUUAAUCGGAAUUACUGGGCGUAAAGCGUGCGCAGGCGGUUUUGUAAGUCAGACGUGAAAUCCCCCGGCUUAACCUGGGAACUGCGUCUGAUACUGGGAGGCUUGAGUAUGGGAGAGGGAUGUAGAAUUCCAGGUGUAGCGGUGAAAUGCGUAGAUAUCUGGAGGAAUACCGGUGGCGAAGGCGGCAUCCUGGACCAUUACUGACGCUGAGGCGCGAAAGCUAGGGGAGCAAACGGG